CAGGGAGAAGAGAGGAAGAGGGAGCUGCAGGUGCCAGAAGAGAACAGGGCGGACUCUCAGGACGAAAAGAGUCAAACCUUUUUGGGAAAAUCAGAGGAAGUAACUGGAAAGCAAGAAGAUCAUGGUAUAAAGGAGAAAGGGGUGCCAGUCAGCGGGCAGGAGGCGAAAGAGCCAGAGAGUUGGGAUGGGGGCAGGCUGGGGGCAGUGGGAAGAGCGAGGAGCAGGGAAGAGGAGAAUGAGCAUCAUGGGCCUUCAAUGCCCGCUCUGAUAGCCCCUGAGGACUCUCCUCACUGUGACCUGUUUCCAGGUGCCUCAUAUCUCGUGACUCAGAUUCCCGGGACUCAGACAGAGUCCAGGGCUGAGGAACUGUCCCCCGCAGCUCUGUCUCCCUCGCUAGAGCCCAUCAGGUGCUCUCACCAGCCCAUUUCUCUACUGGGCUCCUUUUUGACUGAGGAGUCACCUGACAAGGAAAUAGAUCAAAACAGCCAGCAAGAGGGAUCCAGGCUGAGGAAGGGAACAGUGUCCAGCCAAGGGACUGAGGUGGUCUUUGCCAGUGCAUCUGUGACUCCUCCAAGGACACCAGAUUCAGCUCCUCCCAGUCCUGCUGAAGCCUACCCCAUCACACCUGCCUCGGUAUCUGCCAGGCCCCCAGUUGCCUUUCCCAGGAGGGAAACCUCUUGUGCUGCACGUGCUCCAGAAACUGCCAGUGCCCCUCUCUCAAUGGAUGACCCAUCUCCCUGUGGGACUUCUGAGAUGUGCCCGGCUGCCCUCUAUGGCUUCCCCUCCACCGGGACCAGCCCUCCGAGGCCCCCAGCCAACUCCACAGGCACCGUCCAGCACUUACGGAGUGACUCCUUCCCUGGUUCUCACAGGACAGAGCAGACUCCAGACCUGGUGGGAAUGUUGCUUUCCUACUCCCACUCAGAGCUGCCCCAGAGGCCCCCCAAACCUGCCAUCUACAGCUCUGUGACCCCAAGAAGGGACAGAAGGAGUGGUAGGGACUACAGCACCGUUUCAGCAUCCCCUACUGCCUUAUCCACGCUGAAGCAGGACUCUCAAGAAUCCAUCUCAAAUCUAGAGAGACCCAGCAGUCCUCCCAGCAUCCAGCCCUGGGUCUCCCCACAUAAUCCAGCCUUUGCCACAGAGUCUCCCGCCUACGGUUCUUCCCCAUCCUUUGUCUCCAUGGAGGAUGUGAGGAUCCACGAACCUCUGCCCCCUCCUCCCCCACAGAGGAGGGACACCCAUCCCUCCGUGGUGGAGACAGAUGGCCAUGCUCGUGUAGUGGUUCCCACGCUGAAGCAGCAUAGCCACCCUCCUCCAUUGGCCCUAGGUUCAGGGCUGCAUGCCCCCCAUAAAGGCCCACUUCCCCAAGCCUCUGACCCCGCUGUGGCCAGGCAGCACCGACCUCUGCCAUCUACCCCAGACAGCUCCCACCAUGCUCAGGCCACCCCCAGGUGGAGAUACAACAAGCCGCUACCCCCUACCCCUGAUUUGCCGCAGCCCCACCUUCCUCCCAUUUCUGCUCCUGGUAGCUCAAGGAUCUACAGGCCUCUACCCCCACUACCCAUCAUAGACCCUCCCACCGAACCACCCCCAUUGCCCCCAAAGUCCAGGGGGAGGAGCAGGAGCACUUGGGGAGGACAUAUGAACUCAGGGGGUCAUGCCAAAACAAGACCUGCUUGUCAAGACUGGACAGUCCCCCUCCCUGCCUCUGCUGGACGCACCUCCUGGCCCCCGGCCACAGCUAGAUCAACAGAGUCUUUCACUUCCACCAGCAGGAGUAAGAGCGAAGUGUCCCCUGGCAUGGCUUUCAGCAACAUGACAAACUUCCUAUGCCCCUCUUCCCCUACCACUCCCUGGACUCCGGAGCUCCAGGGACCCACCUCUAAGGAUGAAGCAGGGGUCUCAGAACACCCUGAGGCCCCUGCGAGAGAACCUUUGAGAAGGACAACCCCUCAGCAAGGAGCCAGUGGCCCAGGGAGGUCACCUGUGGGCCAAGCAAGGCAGCCAGAAAAACCCAGCCAUCUGCACCUGGAGAAGGCGUCCAGCUGGCCCCACAGGCGGGACUCAGGGAGGCCACCAGGGGACAGCAGUGGACAGGCUGUGGCUCCUAGUGAGGGGGCCAACAAGCACAAGGGCUGGAGCCGGCAGGGCCUGCGCAGACCUUCCAUCUUGCCUGAGGGCUCUUCAGAUUCAAGAGGUCCAGCCGUGGAGAAACAUCCGGGACCCUCAGACACUGUUGUUUUUCGGGAGAAAAAACCAAAGGAGGUGAUGGGAGGCUUUUCAAGACGCUGCUCCAAACUCAUCAACUCCUCCCAGCUGCUUUACCAGGAGUAUAGUGAUGUUGUCCUGAAUAAGGAGAUCCAGAGCCAGCAGCGGCUGGAGAGCCUGUCCGAGACACCCGGGCCUAGCUCUCCGCGGCAGCCUCGGAAGGCCCUGGUCUCCUCCGAGUCGUACCUGCAGCGGCUCUCCAUGGCCUCCAGCGGCUCCCUCUGGCAGGAAAUCCCCGUGGUGCGCAACAGCACCGUGCUGCUCUCCAUGACCCAUGAAGACCAAAAGCUGCAAGAGUCAAAUUUGAGCUGAUUGUGUCAGAGGCCUCCUACCUGCGCAGUCUAAACAUAGCUGUGGAUCAUUUCCAACUUUCAACUUCACUCCGGGCCACACUUUCCAACCAGGAGCACCAAUGGCUCUUCUCUCGUUUACAGGAUGUGCGAGACGUCAGCGCCACGUUCCUUUCAGACCUGGAAGAGAACUUUGAGAACAAUAUCUUCUCCUUCCAAGUAUGUGACGUAGUCCUGAACCACGCCCCAGACUUCCGCCGGGUCUACCUGCCUUAUGUCACCAACCAGACCUAUCAGGAACGCACCUUCCAGAGCCUGAUGAAUAGCAACAGCAAUUUCCGGGAGGUCUUGGAGAAGCUGGAGAGCGACCCCGUCUGCCAGCGCCUUUCCCUCAAGUCCUUUCUGAUUCUGCCCUUCCAACGCAUCACCCGCCUCAAACUGCUGCUCCAGAACAUUCUGAAGAGAACACAGCCUGGCUCCUCGGAGGAGGCAGAGGCCACGAAGGCACACCACGCCCUGGAGCAGCUGAUCCGGGACUGCAAUAACAAUGUCCAGAGUAUGCGACGGACAGAGGAGCUAAUCUACCUGAGCCAGAAGAUUGAGUUUGAGUGCAAAAUAUUCCCGCUCAUUUCUCAGUCACGCUGGCUGGUGAAAAGUGGGGAGCUGACAGCCUUGGAGUUCAGUGCUUCCCCAGGGCUACGAAGGAAGCUGAACACGCGUCCAGUCCACCUGCACCUCUUCAAUGACUGUCUGCUGCUGUCUCGGCCCCGAGAGGGUAGCCGAUUCCUGGUAUUUGACCAUGCUCCCUUCUCCUCCAUUCGGGGGGAAAAGUGUGAAAUGAAGCUACAUGGACCUCACAAAAACCUGUUCCGACUCUUUCUGCGGCAGAACACUCAGGGCGCCCAGGCCGAGUUCCUCUUCCGCACGGAGACUCAAAGUGAAAAGCUUCGGUGGAUCUCAGCCUUGGCCAUGCCAAGAGAGGAGUUGGACCUUCUGGAGUGUUACAGGAUAUGGGGGACAAUAUAACAUCCAUCACAGAGUUCCUCCUACUGGGAUUUCCCGUUGGCCCAAGGAUUCAGAUGCUCCUCUUUGGGCUCUUCUCCCUGUUCUACGUCUUCACCCUGCUGGGGAACGGGACCAUACUGGGGCUCAUCUCACUGGACUCCAGACUGCACGCCCCCAUGUACUUCUUCCUCUCACACCUGGCGGUCGUCGACAUCGCCUACGCCUGCAACACGGUGCCCCGGAUGCUGGUGAACCUCCUGCAUCCAGCCAAGCCCAUCUCCUUUGCGGGCCGCAUGAUGCAGACCUUUCUGUUUUCCACUUUUGCUGUCACAGAAUGUCUCCUCCUGGUGGUGAUGUCCUAUGAUCUGUACGUGGCCAUCUGCCACCCCCUCCGAUAUUUGGCCAUCAUGACCUGGAGAGUCUGCAUCACCCUCGCGGUGACUUCCUGGACCACUGGAGUCCUUUUAUCCUUGAUUCAUCUUGUGUUACUUCUACCUUUACCCUUCUGUAGGCCCCAGAAAAUUUAUCACUUUUUUUGUGAAAUCUUGGCUGUUCUCAAACUUGCCUGUGCAGAUACCCACAUCAAUGAGAACAUGGUCUUGGCCGGAGCAAUUUCUGGGCUGGUGGGACCCUUGUCC